ACUGACACUUAGACUGUUUCCAUAUCUUGGCUAUUUUGAAUAAUGCUUCAAUGAGCAUGGUAGUGCAGAUAUGUUGUCAAGAUCCUGUUUUCAUUUCCUUUGGACAAAUACCCAGAAAUGGGAUUACUGGAUCAUAGACUAGUUCUAUUUUUAGUUUCUGAUGAAAUCUCCAUACUGUUUUCCACAAUGUCUGUACCAAUUUACAUUCUCCCCAUCAGUAUAAAUGUUCCCUUUUCUCCACAUUCUGGCAAGCACCUGUUAUCUUGUCUUUUUGAUGAUAAUCACUCUAACAGGUGUGAGGUGGUGUCUCCUCUUGGUUUUGGUUUGCAUUUUCCUGGUAAUCAGUGUUGCUGAACAACUCUUUAUGCACAUGUUGACUAUAUGUAUGUCUUAUUUGGAAAAGUAUCUAGAAGUCAUUGUAUCCUUUAUAUUUAUCUAGUGACUAUUUUGUUUUGUUCUGGACAUGCAUUUUUCCAUAGGUCUUAACACUAAGACCUCUCUUUGUCUCUUUAAAAAUAUGCAAAAUUAUAAUUUCUGAGCAAAUUCUUCUGGGAUGUAAUUUCCCUCAAUGUUUUGAGAUUUUCAAAUAUUGGAGUUCCUGCUGUGGCACAGUGGGUUAGGAAUUUGACUGCAGCAGCUCAUGUUGCUGCAGAGGUGCAGGGAUCAAAAAAAUUUGCUAGAUAAUUUUAGAGUAAAAGAAUUUAAUUUUUGUCAUUUUUCAUUACACUUGUAUUAUUGUAUAAAAUUAUAAUUAUUUUUAUUUUUAGCACUAGACAAUAAUAUGUUCGCCUAGAUUACAGCAGCAUGCUUUUUUCCGUAGAUCUCUAGGGGUGCAAAUUCAUUCUCUUUUACUGUUAAUUGUACUUUAGAGGAAAGGUUUGGUAAGUACUACUGUAGCAGAAUCAUUUUUAUUAAAGGGUCUAAUUUAUUUAAAUAAAUUUUAUAAGGCUUAAUAUUUUCUAAUGUUUAAAAUAUUCAUAGUUACAUUAUUUUCAUACAUCUAGCCAAUAUUUUAUCAGAAAUUAUGAGAGAGUAUCUGGCAUAAAAGCAGAACUAAAAUCCACAUUUUAGUGGGUUGUAAAUAAAGAAAAACAAACUUAAAAGACCUUGUCUUAACAUUUUCAUUAGUUAAUAUGACAUAAUAUUGACAUUUUUUCCUUAUUGUAUCAGUUUAACUUGCCAAGGAAACAUAUUUUUCUAAAAUUCCAGCAGAGGAUUUUAAUUAUAUUAAACUAAUUAUUACUGGUGUUACGUAUUUUUAUCUGAUGAAAGAAAAUAAUAAGGUAAUACUUCUAAAAUUACAUUAAUGUAUUAUCUGAGGGGUCCUGGUGGUAUUUGUUUUAAGAAAUGUAAACUAUAUUUAUAACAUUAUAUGAUAGAUUUGGUGGCUAAUUUUUUUCAUUUACAUGUUGCAGCUCCCACAUAUAUUCAUUUGACUUUAACCAAAAAUUUUAAGCUUAGGCAAAACUGGGGAGACUAAAGACCAUUACAAUAAAUAAAUAACUUAAUGAUAUUCUCCUGAUAGAUUUGGCACAUGUCAAUAGCCUUUGUUUUAUUUUUCUUGAAAGCAAACUAAUUAACAGCUGUGGCUAGACACAGCCUCUCUCAGUUAGAAAAUGAAAUAUUUAACAUUAGGAUAAGCUCUGGGAUAUGUAAUUAGACAUUUAUCAAUCCUUCCAUUUAGUAAUCUAUAAUGUCAGAACUCAAAUGUUCUAAACAGUUUAAACAAUUUUUAUGUUGACUGUUUUGAGGCAUAUCCUGAAAUCCUGCGGAUAUGAAAUCAUUAAAACAUUUUUCAAUAGCUGCAAGAGAGAUUUUUACAUCUGGUAACAAGGAAGAAUCAUGGCGUGUGUGUGUGCAUUUGUGUUUGCGUUCAUGCGUGCAUGUGCCUACACACUCUGAAAAGUUGUCUUCCAGCCUGCUCUUGAAUAUUCCAGCACAAUUAUACAUAAACCUCCUCAUUAGGGUACAACUUGAAUUGGUUGAAAGUCAAUAUGCAUAUUUGGGAAUCUUCGUUUACCUUUUAUGUAUCCUUCAUCCAAAUGAUGAAACACAUCUAGGGUAUAAUGAUUUGAAGGAAAAUAAAGAUCUGCUUGCCCCACUCAAAAUACACUUUAUCCAUUUCUGCCACAGCAUCUGAAAAUAUGGGGAAACUAAGCCAUCAGGAAAACUUUGUGAGAAUAGUUUCAUCGUGAAUGGGUAAAUUAUUGAGGGGAUGAUUUCUAAAUAUGAAAGAAAGACUGGUUUUAUCGGAAAAAUAAUUUCUUAAGGUAAGGUAAGUGAAGUUGCUUUUGAGGUCAAGCAGGAAGAAUGACUAGGAAUUUUGGAUGCAUAAGACUAAAACUGGAGAUGUUUCCCUAUCUUAAAUUUAUGGGAAUUCUUUUCAGUCUCAAGUUGGUGCCUCAGAUAUUUGACAUGUUAAAAGGUCCCUAGGUAAUUCUAAUUUCUAGCUAUGUGGAAAACUACUAACCUGGAAAAGUAGAAUGUAAGAUUUCCCAGGAGAGAGGAAUAGAGAUGAGAUAGGGAGAU
rnacentral:lncRNA from 1 species